GGGAAGAAAAGUCAGUAGAGAAGGUAGGCAGUGCUUGCAAAGGCCUGAGUCUGAGGUACUUCUUUAUAGCACUGCAAGAAUGGACUAAUACGCUAUGUGAAGACAAAGGGGAUGUCUGCAAGCCAGGACGAGUGCGUCUACCAGAAACUGAGUUCUGCUGGACUUUGAUCUAGGACAUCCAGCCUCCAGAAUGGAAUGUGCCAUAUGUGGAGACCUGCAUGGAAAGGAACUGAGGAUGCUCUCUCACUAAAAGCUAGAAGGAACUGAGGCCCUCAGUCAACAGUCUACAAGACACUGAAUCUUGCCAGCAGCCAAGCAGUGAGCUUGAAAGCAGAUCUAUCAUCAGCUGAACCUUCAGAUGAGACCGCAGCCUAAGCAGAUACCUUGGUUGCAGCCAUGUGAGACAACCUGAAACAGAGGGCACAGCUAAGCCUCAGCCAGGUUCAUGACCCUCUGAGGAAACUGUGAGAAAGCAAAUGUCAUUUUAAGCUAUUUAAUUUUGGAGGUAGUUUAUUACACAACAAUAAAUAACUAUUAUAAUUAUCUUGAGGAUUUAUUUCCUGGGGAGAAUACAUGGAAUUGCAUAUAUAGGUCCUCAUAUGCAGAAUACUGGUACCCUAGAGAUGUUCACCCCAGAGAUGUUUUAGGAACCUGUGAAUAUGUUACAUUAAAUGGCAAAGUUUUCCUGGAUGGUUUAAGUUUAAGAUGGAAAAGUUUUACUGGAUUAUCCAGUGGGUCCAAUCUAGUAACAUGAGUCCUUAAAAAUGGAGAAUAUUUUUUGGCCAUGAUCAGAGAGACAUGUGAUGAUGGAAAAAGUGUCAGAGAUGCAAUGUGAGGGGACUAAAACUGCUGUUGCUGACUUUAAAGAUGGAGAGAGGGGAACCCGAGUCAAGGAAUGCAAAUGGCCUCUGGAAGCUGGAAAAAGCAAGAAAUGGAUUCUCCUUUAGAGCCUGUGGAAUAAAAUGCAGUCAUGCUGACACCUUGAUUUUACCUCAGUGAGACCAAUACUGGAGUAUGACCUUCGGAGCUGAAUAAAAUUAUACGUACACAUCUUAAUUUCUUGGGAUUUGAUUACUUCUUCUGCUUUGAAAUUAGACCAAGUUUAGCCUGCCUUUGCUAUUUUGGCGUAUCUCCAAUUCUUCAUGAUUUUCUCAUCGCAAAGGCCACAUAAGGACAGUGAGAAGGCAGCCACCUGCAAGCCAGGAAGAAAGGUCUCACCAGAUACCAACCCUGCCAGCAUGUUGAUCUUGGACUUCCAGCCUCCAAAACUGGCCUUCUGCUCACAUGGGCUUCCGUGCACCUGCUUCAGGAGACAGCAACACUUGCGCCCGCACCGCGGCAGGCUCCCAUCACCUGGUGGAUAUGCCGCGCCGAGUCUCAUCACACCUUAGUGAAGGAACACAUGGACCCAUAUGUUAGCGGAUGUAUUUACAUCGUUUUAUACAGAAAGGGGAAGUAUGUUUCACAAUAAAUGUUUGCAUACUUUGGAGCACAUCUUUUUUUUCUUUCAGACAGAAAGAAAGAGACAAAAAGAGCGGGAGAAACUUUGGCUGGAGCCAUUGAUUCUUUAUUCCCUUACAAUGUUUUUAUCACCCAACCUUGAAAAUAGUCUGUGUGUCAGCUGGGCAGGAUCUGUGCUGAGGCUUGCGUCCCUGGGGGCAAAAAAAGGGUAGUGACUUUUAGUUGAAAGAGUCAGGAAGGGAAGAGUCAAUAGUUCAGCGGUAAGUAUUCUGAACCCAGGCAGGGAAACCAAAAUUCAGGGAUACCUGAAGCCCUCAAGCUAAGGGCCAGGAGCUAGGAGCUGAAAGGAUACAGGAGCUAUGUCAUAAAUAAUUUAGGAGGUGGCUAGAUGAUUGCCAGAGUGUCCACAGCAUGCUUUACUUGGCUUUUAUGGAUACAAUGUGCAUAGGUUGCUUUUAGGAACAAUAAAGAAAUGUUUAUUAAACUAAUUAUGAUUCAAUAAUAUUGACAAUAAUGACAAUGUUGAUAGUAUGCAAUAUAAUAAACUGGUGUGCUUUUAUUUCUCCCUUUUCCUGUGCACAUCUGUUUUACUCUGUGACAUUUUUCCAUUUAGACUCAGAAAUAAGAAACCAGUAUUGCUGCAAAGGUAGGCUGUCACUGGAGGAAAUGAAGAUUAAAAAUUAAAAAAUCAAAUUAUAAUUUUUAUAUUUUAAAAAAA
ensembl:lncRNA LINC01748 long intergenic non-protein coding RNA 1748